rnacentral:rRNA from 1 species
GACGAACGCUGGCGGCGUGCUUAACACAUGCAAGUCGAACGGACAGACAGAGAGCUUGCUCUCUUGAAGUUAGUGGCGAACGGGUGAGUAACGCGUAAUCAACCUGCCCUUCAGAGGGGGAUAACAACGGGAAACCGUUGCUAAUACCGCGUACGAUUCAUGAACGGCAUCGUUUAUGAAUGAAAGGUGGCCUCUAUGUAUAAGCUAUCGCUGAAGGAGGGGAUUGCGUCUGAUUAGCUAGUUGGGGGGGUAACGGCCCACCAAGGCAAUGAUAAGUAGCCGGUCUGAGAGGAUGAACGGCCACAUUGGGACUGAGACACGGCCCAAACUCCUACGGGAGGCAGCAGUGGGGAAUCGUCCGCAAUGGACGAAAGUCUGACGGAGCAACGCCGCGUGAGUGAUGAAGGUCUUCGGAUUGUAAAGCUCUGUUAAUCGGGACGAAAGAGUUCUGCGUGAAUAAUGCAGAAAAGUGACGGUACCGGAAUAGAAAGCCACGGCUAACUACGUGCCAGCCGCCGCGGUAA